rfam:Polysphondylium pallidum PN500 unplaced genomic scaffold PPL_scaffold8, whole genome shotgun sequence.
GUCAGGAUGGUGUAGUUGGUUAUCACAAAACCUUAACACGGUUUGGGUCAUGGGUUCGAUUCCCAUUCUUGAUA